GCGGUUGUGGUGAAAUGGUAGACGCAGGGGACUCAAAAUCCCCCGACGAGAGUCGUGUCGGUUCGAGUCCGACCAGCCGCACCA
rnacentral:tRNA from 1 species